rnacentral:pre_miRNA from 1 species
CCCAAUCAUUAUGACUAUUGUUGUGUUAGGGCAAUGAGUCACAUUUAAAAUUUUAUUGAGUAUGUGGGUACAUGAAGCCCCAGGCAUACAAUAAUUUAUGACAGAUUGU